AGAGAGAGACAUGCGUGCAUAUCAAUAAGCGGAGGAAAAGAAACUAACAAGGAUUCCCCUAGUAACGGCGAGUGAAGCGGGAAGAGCUCAAAUUUGAAAUCUUAAAGGGUUUCCCUUUACGAAUUGUAGUUUAAAGAAGUGUUUUCUGUUGAGGUUUUGGUAAAAGUUCUUUGGAAUAGGACAUCAUAGAGGGUGAGAAUCCCGUAUUUGACCUUUACUUUCAACUUUGUGAUACACUUUCAAAGAGUCGGAUUGUUUGGGAAUGCAGUCCAAAAUGGGUGGUAAAUUUCAUCUAAAGCUAAAUAUUGGCGAGAGACCGAUAGCGAACAAGUACCGUGAGGGAAAGAUGAAAAGAACUUUGAAAAGAGAGUUAAACAGUACGUGAAAUUGUCAAAAGGGAAGCGUUUGACACCAGUGUUGUUUUUCUGAAAAUCAAUUAAAGAACUGUUUAUGCUAAGCUGUUUAGGACUUUAUCAGCUAACUGUUUAGUUUUGAGCUUUUCUUUAAUGCACUUUUCAGUUAACAAGUCAACAUCAAUUUCUUUUGCUGUAAAGAAGCUUGAGGAAGGUGGCUUGAGAUUCGUCUUAAGUGUUUAUAGCCUCUUGCCUAUGCAGUCGGAGAGAUUGAGGUCUGCAGCGUAGAUCCUUCGGGGCUAAAUGCAUUUGUGCUAAGUUAUAGCAUUUUAUAGACAACUUGUUGACUAUGAUUUGUCUUGUAGCUUACUCGCUUAUGUUAUUUUACCUACGCUUAGGAUGUUGAGCGCAUGUCUCUCUCU
rnacentral:rRNA from 1 species